AGAGUUUGAUCCUGGCUCAGAGCGAACGCUGGCGGCAGGCCUAGCACAUGCAAGUCGAACGAACUCUUCGGAGUUAGUGGCGGACGGGUGAGUAACACGUGGGAACGUGCCUUUUGGUUCGGAAUAACUCAGGGAAACUUGUGCUAAUACCGAAUGUGCCCUUCGGGGGAAAGAUUUAUCGCCAUUAGAGCGGCCCGCGUCUGAUUAGCUUGUUGGUGAGGUAAUGGCUCACCAAGGCUACGAUCAGUAGCUGGUCUGAGAGGAUGACCAGCCACAUUGGGACUGAGACACGGCCCAAACUCCUACGGGAGGCAGCAGUGGGGAAUCUUGCGCAAUGGGCGAAAGCCUGACGCAGCCAUGCCGCGUGUAUGAUGAAGGUCUUAGGAUUGUAAAAUACUUUCACCGGUGAAGAUAAUGACUGUAGCCGGAGAAGAAGCCCCGGCUAACUUCGUGCCAGCAGCCGCGGUAAUACGAAGGGGGCUAGCGUUGCUCGGAAUUACUGGGCGUAAAGGGAGCGUAGGCGGACAUUUAAGUCAGAGGUGAAAUCCCGGAGCUUAACUUCGGAACUGCCUUUGAUACUGGGUGUCUUGAGUGUGAGAGAGGUAUGUGGAACUCCGAGUGUAGAGGUGAAAUUCGUAGAUAUUCGGAAGAACACCAGUGGCGAAGGCGACAUACUGGCUCAUUACUGACGCUGAGGCUCGAAAGCGUGGGGAGCAACCAGGAUUAGAUACCCUGGUAGUCCACGCCGUAAACGAUGAUUGCUAGUUGUCGGGAAGCUUGCUUCUCGGUGACGCAGCUAACGCAUUAAGCAAUCCGCCUGGGGAGUACGGUCGCAAGAUUAAAACUCAAAGG
rnacentral:rRNA from 1 species